UGGCUUAGAAGCAGCCAUUCAUUUAAAGAGUGCGUAAUAGCUCACUGGUCGAGUGAAGUUGCGCGGAAAAUUACCGGGGCUAAGUUAUACACCGAAAUUGCGGAUUCAUUAAGAAAUUAAUGAGUGGUAGAGGAGCGUUCUAUACAGGAUGAAGUAUGAUCGAGAGGACAUAUGGACAGUAUAGAAGAGAGAAUGCCGGAAUGAGUAGCGAGAGCAAAGUGAGAAUCUUUGCCGUCGAAAAUCUAAGGUUUCCUGGGGAAGGUUCGUCCGCCCAGGGUAAGUCGGGACCUAAGGUGAGGCCGAAGGGCGUAGCCGAUGGACAGCAGGUUAAGAUUCCUGCACCAGUAUACAUGUAUAAUGCAUAAGAGGACACAUUUGAAGAAGGUGAGCGAGGAAGAGGAAAAACUCGUAUGGAAACAUAUAGUGAAAUCAAGUAACGAAUCAUCAAGAGGCAAGUGGCGAGAAAAGUCUUAUGUAGUUGUGUAGACUGCCCGUACCGCAAACCGACACAGGUAGAUGAGGAGAGGAUCCUAAGACGAGCGGGAGAAGCAUUGUUAAGGAACUCGGCAAAUUGACCCCGUAACUUAGGGAUAAGGGGUGCUGGUGUAAAAGCCAGUCGCAGUAAAUAGGCCCAAGCAACUGUUUAACAAAAACACAGGUUUCUGCUAAAUCGCAAGAUGAAGUAUAGGAGCUGACUCCUGCCCAGUGCUGGAAGGUUAAGGGGAAAGGUUAAGAAUAAUUCAUUAUAUCUGAAGCUUUGAACUCAAGCCCCAGUGAACGGCGGCCGUAACUAUAACGGUCCUAAGGUAGCGAAAUUCCUUGUCAGGUAAGUUCUGACCCGCACGAAAGGAGUAAUGAUUUGGGCACUGUCUCAACAAUGUACCCGGCGAAAUUGUAGUACUAGUGAAGAUGCUAGUUACCUGCGACAAGACGGAAAGACCCCAUGGAGCUUUACUAUAGCCUGAUAUUGGGCUUUGGUAUCUUAUGUACAGGAUAGGUGGGAGACUAUGAGAUUAAGACGCAAGUCUUAAAGGAGUCAACCUUGGAAUACCACCCUUAAGAUAUUAGAGUUCUAACUUGUGAUCAUAAACUGGUCAGAGGACAUUGUCAGGUGGGUAGUUUGACUGGGGCGGUCACCUCCUAAAGAGUAACGGAGGUGCGCAAAGGUUUCCUCGGCACGGUCAGAAAUCGUGCUAAUGAGUGUAAAGGCAUAAGGAAGCUUAACUGAGAGAGAGACAUCUCGACCAGAUACGAAAGUAGGUCUUAGUGAUCCGGUGGUAGAAAAUGGAAUUGCCAUCGCUCAACGGAUAAAAGUUACCCUGGGGAUAACAGGCUUAUCUCCCCCAAGAGUUCACAUCGACGGGGAGGUUUGGCACCUCGAUGUCGGCUCAUCGCAUCCUGGGGCUGGAGCAGGUCCCAAGGGUUGGGCUGUUCGCCCAUUAAAGCGGUACGCGAGCUGGGUUCAGAACGUCGUGAGACAGUUCGGUCCCUAUCUGUCGCAGGCGCAGGAUAUUUGAAAGGAGCUGUCCUUAGUACGAGAGGACCAGGAUGGACAUACCAAUGGUGCAACAGUUGUCACACCAGUGGCACAGCUGUGUAGCUAAGUAUGGAAGGGAUAAACGCUGAAAGCAUCUAAGCGUGAAGCCCCCCUUAAGAUAAGAUAUCCCACAACGUCAAGUUGGUAAGAUUCCAGUUAGACUAACUGGUUGAUAGGUUAGAGGUGUAAGUGUGGUGACACAUUUAGCUGACUAAUACUAAUAAUCGAGGGCUUAACCAA
rnacentral:rRNA from 1 species